AUCCUACUUCAAAAACAUCACCAAAGAGUUGUAAGGAAUAACCAGUCCUCUACCAGUGCAGCAGAUUCUUGCCUUUGACUGUGGCGGUGGCCAGAAGGAACGUGCCAAAGCCAAAGAGGCCUUAACUGAGAUGCCUCAUGGGAAUUAAACGGCACAUAUGAAGUGGUUUGUAAUACCAUGGUUUUCCGACUGUCCUGAUUGGUUCUUGAUGUGUUUAUGGUUCAUUAUAUGAAAUUAUUAUUUGUAUGCUUUUUUCCCAAUUUCUUCUAUUUUCUUCUUUAAAUAUACAUUAAGAAAAGUUGUGAGAUUGUUUAACUAUUUGUGUAUCAAUGUUUAAAGGAUAGUUCACCAGAAAAUGAAAAUUUGCUGUUAAUUUACUCACCCUCAAGCCAUCCAUGAUGUAGGUGACAUUUUUAGCUGAAACCAUGGUCCUUGGUGAAUGCAAGUCAAUGGCUACAGUCACUUUGAGAGUCAUAAAAACAUAUUACAGGCAAAACAAAGUUAAUACCUGUGACUGAUGCUGACAUUACAUUGAGGUCUUAUGAAGCGAAACAGACCAAUGUUUUCGCUUCAUUAGACCUCAAUGAAUCAUCUGGAGCCACACGUAUUCAUUUUGUUUUGCCUGAAUAUGUUUUUUUGACUCUCAAAGGGACUAGCCAUUGACUUUUAUAUUAUACUUUUAUAUUAUACAAAUCACCAAGGACCACAUUUUCAGCUAAAAAUCUUCUUUACUGAUAGUAAAUUAACGGCAAAUUUUCAUUUUUGGGUGAAUGAUCCCUUUAAGCUUAUUGAAUAUGAUGUAACUAGAGACUUAGGAUUAGUUCACUUUCAAAUGAAAAUUACCCCAAGCUUUACUCACCC